GCAACAUUGAAAGCGUUUUUAAAAAGAAAAGCAACACGGCUGCAGCAGCGAAAGAACGCGAGUCGGCGUGGGAGAAGAUUACUGCUCGAGUCAAUGCAUGUAAUCCCACCGGCGAAAAAAGAACGUGGAAGCAGCUGAAGAUGAAAUAUAAAAACAUUGUUCAAACAGCCAACAGAAAGCGGGCAUCUGCCCGCAAAACUGGCGGAGGACCACCCCCACCACGUCUGACCGAGGCAGAGGAGCUGGCCAUGGGUCAGACUGUCGGGAGGCCAGUCGCAGAGGGGAUCCCUGGAGGAACCUCAUCCUCGGACAUGAUUACACAGGAGCCACCAGCCUUGAUAAGAUGCAAUAGGCCUAGGCCUCAAACUUCUUUUGGGCCUAUAGUUCAAUGUUAAUUUCCCUUUCAUGUGUUUUUCUUUUGUCUCAACAGAUUCUGAAGACGUACUUGGUCUAGUGGAUCCAUGUGCCACUUUAACUGAUGAUGAAGAUGAUGGGACCACAAUGUCUGCUGCCUUCUCUGUGGUGUCUGAGAGGGAGCCUGAGAGGCCUACAGAGCAGAGCAUGGCUGGGCAGCAGGAAGAGGGUCCCUCAACCUCCACAGCACAGAUUGACACACUACCACUAAAAGAAAUCUACAAAGUGCAUUUAUUAAAAACAGUACAAAAAACAGAAAAAGAAAUGGUGCUGCUGGACCGCCAGAUAACUAAAACGGAUCUGGAAAUUGAAUUAUUAAAACACAAGUUAGAGGUGGGUGCAUGGUCAUAGGUGAAUUGUGUUGAUGAUUGUAACAAUUAAAAAGUAAGAAACCAUUUUUUUUCUUAUUUGUAGGAAAUAAAGAAGACCAAAUAAAAUUUUUUUUGUCUUUCUGUUUAUUUUACUGCUGUUGGUGAUGGUGAUUAUGAAAAACGACCAAACUGGCUUUAAACAGGCGCGACAAUGAAUGAAUCACACCGGAGACAGAAAGAAACUCGAGGUUCAUUGAAGAAAACCUGGUCCCGACCAGGUUAUGUUCACAGAGUCUGUUGCCAUAGUAACUGACACCGAGGUUAAGUUACCUCUCUCUGUGAAACAGGCUGGAGUUACUCCUCUGUCUCUGGUUUGACUUACCUCCCUUUUUGAAACGGAAAACUCAGAGUUUCCCUCAUUUCAGGGUUAACAUACUCCGAGUUUUCACUAAACCUGCUUCGUGA